CCCUGUUGUUUGAUGCUUUCAGUAUUUCAUUAUCUCUGCAUCAGCACUGGUACUCCUGCAACUGAAAAGCUAUCAAAAUAACACAGUUUGAAAUGAUAAAUGAAAGCAACAGAACUGCAGAGCAGAGCAUGCACUUCUGUGGGCUUUUCUAGGUGAACAGAUAUUUGUAUCUGUGCUGCGGCAGUCUUUUACUAGCACAGCAAAGGUUUAUCCAGAUGUACUCAUUGGCUUAAAGCCACUGGACUCAUUUAACAUAGCCAAUUUUCUAUAGCUGCUAGCACACCUAAGAAAUUAUAAUUGAUUUUUCUUCCUGAGAAAUAGAUUUUAGAAAGGUACAAGAUUUCAUUUUUUUUCUCUUUAAGGAGAGAGAGGAAAAUACAGUGAGAUCCAGGAAAAGACCAUAUUGACCACAAAUUUUUGUCAAUUUUGUCAAAAUAAUUUGUCAAUAAUUUUGUCAAAAUUAUUGUCAAUUAGUUGGAAUAAGUCAAAUUAAUUGGUGCAUUCACUGCGGGACUGAGGUUAGGUGUGUGACUCAAGAAGGUACUAAAUUCUCAAUAAAGAGUUAACAUAAUGGAUCAGAAUUCUGACCCAGUUUAACAAUUAGCUGGAGGUGGCGUCAUGUGAAAUUUAAAUGUACACUCUAGAGCAGGGAGUUCUUUCAUCCUUUUCACAAAAUUUCACAUGAAUUCUUUCAUCCCUAAUAAACAUGGCUAAAUUUAAAACAGGAAUGUAUAUUUAAUUUUAUUGUUAUAAGCAUUAUCUGCUUAGUGCCAAUGGCAUAUUUCCAGAAACUAAAAGUGUAUUUCUCUCACCAUUUUUCAGAUCUGCAAUGCAUUCAUAUAACUACUGUAUAUAAUUAAACAUGCAAAGCAGAGAUCUGAAAUUGGUAAUUAGCCCUCAAGAUUUUGUAGUAGUGUCUGGGAAUUAAACCACACAGUUCCCAUUAUAUUCCAGAGAAAUCAUUCAACUAAAAUUCUUUCACUACUUAGGAAAACAGGGGCCAGCUUCUAAAGCAUUUUUACUUCUGGGAGUGUAAUUUGCACUUUCUGAUUUCAUGUGUUCAAUAUCUUUCCAUUGUAUAGCUUUGUAUUUCAAUCUGUUUUUCUAUAUAAAUUAGAAGCUAUGUAUUGUAAUUUCAGGUCUCCAGCCUUGAAGAGAUGAUUCAUUACAGUCCUUUACUGAUAAAUAGAAAAUUAAAAAAAAAAAAAAAAAAAAAUCAAAACCACCCAAAGAAAAAGGACCACUUUAAAAUAAAUGCAAAGAGCAAUAGAGUGAGGCAGACAAAUACCCCAGAACAAAGAGCCCACCAUUCUGAUGUAAAAACCUCCUGUUCUCUUAUUAAUAUAGGUAAAUAUUUUCUUUUGGUAUAUUUUGUUAUAUACCAAGCGCAGCUUGAUAUAUAGCAGCUAGUAAGAUGGUUUUUCAGUAUUGUGGUUCAAGACCAGGCAGCAGCUAAGCCCUAGACAGCUGCUUGCUCACUCCCCUGGUGGGAAGGGGGAGAGAAUCAGAAAAGUAAAAGUGAGGAAACGCAUGGGCUGAGAUAAAGGCAUGGGCACCCAUGGGCAGGGAGGUGUUCGGGCACAUCUGGUAAAGCAGGGCUCCAUCGUGCCUAACAGUGACUUGGGAAGACAAACACCAUCAUUCCAAACAUCCCCAUUUCCUCCUUCUCUCCCCAGCUGUAUGUGCUGAGCAUGAUGCCACAGGGAAUGGAAUAUCCCUUGGGUCAGCUGGGGUCAGCUGUGUCCCCUCCCAACUUCUUGUGCACCCCCAGCCUCCUCACUGCUGGGGUGGGGUGAGAAGGCCUUGACUCAGUGUCAGCGCUACUCAGCACCUACUAAAAUAUCCCUGUUAUCAAAACACAAAUCCAAAACAUAGCCCCAUGACAGCUAAUAUGAAGAAAAUGAAAUUUGCAUCAGUCAAAUUCUGCUCAUCUAGUUUUAGAUUCUCGUUAAUACAAAGAUAGGGAAUUUCAGAAAUUCUUAGUGCUUCAUGAAGAUUCAUCUUGCUUUGACAUUUGUUGAGCAGUGUUAUACAUUUCCAUUGCAGAGAAUUAAAUGAUAAUUUAAAAGUAUGGGGGAAGAAAAGAAUAUUUCUUCUCACAAUUUUGUAUUUGGGAACAUGCAGUGUAUGCAUUCAGGUCUAACUAAAAAAAACUCCUGUGAUUGUUUUUUUUUUAUUUUUCUUUCCCUAACAGAUUCUUUGGCCAUAUGUAUAUAAUAUACCUGGCUUAUGAUAACUCAGUUUCCCUACUGGAAAGUCAAUGAACUGACUUGUAUGAGACUGACUGCAAGCUGCACACAGACACCUUUUAUUUUCUCUUUUCCAAAGUUAUUUGGAAAUUAUUAGGAGGUUUUUAGCUCAUCUCUGAUAAAGUUCUCUGAUAAGGAUACCUGCAAGAUAGCAAGUAUUACCUGUUCUUCUUAAGACAUCUGGUAAAAUAAUGAAUGACUGGAGACAUGCAGACUUAAGGGUGACCUCUUGAUUUCUACUAUUCAGUAAGAUAAACCAGAAUAAGAAAGAGUUAGCAUUCAACUCUUGAAAUCCCAAAGGUUUUCUAAGUGAAACCGCGGCAUAGAGCUUCAAUCUCCAAAAAUUAUUUGGAAUUUCACAGAUGAAGUUAAAAUACCUCCUAGCUUCUACUUUGUGCAUAUCUUUUUGAUUAUAGAGGUUAUAGACACAAAU